rnacentral:lncRNA from 1 species
AAACAAUUUGUUAUUAAAGUUAUUUGAGACAAAUCUAUAUUAAGUAUAUUUAGAUUAAUAAGUUUCAAUUAAAUAUAUAGUUAAAAUAGUGAUAUUUCUUCGUCCGAUCUGUUGUUUCUUCAGCAUGUGUUAAUCUCUGAAGUAUGAGACUCAUCGACGAAAAGUGAAUUCCAGUUUGCUACAAAAGUUAAUUGCAGUCAUGUCACAAGAAAUUGCAUGCGUAUUGAAAUUGUUAAGGUACUUAUUUUAAUUAUAAUUGCCAAACAAUUUUUUUUAGUGUAUGUGACAGAGGUCUUAGUUCUUUUUUGUCAGAAAUAUGACCUGCUAUGCAAAUAUCUGUCUACAAUAUAUUAAUCCAGGUAUUGUACACCUGGUUAAAAGUGCUACUGCCAAUUUUCUGUUAUAAUUGUUUUCAAAAUUGUUAUUACAAUAUGAAACAAUGUACUGCUCCAUGUGGAAUGUAACAAUAAUAAUAGUAAUUGGGAGAACUACAAAAAUUGAAAUGUGCCCCAUGCAACACUUUUAUAGCGCUCUUCCCAAUUACAUUCCACAUUGCAGAUUUAGUUCUGUGGGUUUUAUGUACCUUCAUGUUCUGUGUAUCUUUGUUAUGUCUACUAUGUUAUUUAAUUCUAUUUAUUCUAGAUGUAUGUUGUUUCUCUGUGGUCUGGAAAAGCAAUGAGAUGGUGAAUAAAGGCCAGUUUUAGUGUUAUAUUUGAUAUGAUCCUGUUUUAUUUAUUGUGUAUACAACACCAUUAAUUUGUUAUUCCCACUCCUUUCUUGCUAUUAAACAAAAAAAUUGAUAUCAAG